CCUACGGGAGGCAGCAGUGAGGAAUAUUGGUCAAUGGGCGAGAGCCUGAACCAGCCAAGUAGCGUGAAGGAUGACUGCCCUACGGGUUGUAAACUUCUUUUACAGGGGAGUAAAGUGCGGCACGUGUGCCAUUUUGUAUGUACCUUAUGAAUAAGGAUCGGCUAAAUCCGUGCCAGCAGCCGCGGUAAUACGGAGGAUCUGAGCGUUAUCCGGAUUUAUUGGGGUUAAAGGGAGCGUAGGGGGGAUGUUAAGUCAGUCGUGAAAGUUUGCGGCUCAACCGUAAAAGUGCAGUUGAAACUGGCAGGCUUGAGUACAGGAGAGGUAGGCGGAAUUCGUGGUGUAGCGGUGAAAUGCUUAGAUAUCACGAAGAACUCCGAUUGCGAAGGCAGCUUACUGGACUGCAACUGACAUUGAGGCUCGAAAGUGUGGGUAUCAAACAGGAUUAGAUACCCGAGUAGUC
rnacentral:rRNA from 1 species